GAUGAACGCUGGCGGCGUGCCUAAUACAUGCAAGUCGAGCGAACAGAUGAGGAGCUUGCUCCUCUGACGUUAGCGGCGGACGGGUGAGUAACACGUGGAUAACCUACCUAUAAGACUGGGAUCACUUCGGGAAACCGGAGCUAAUACCGGAUAAUAUAUUGAACCGCAUGGUUCAAUAGUGAAAGACGGUUUUGCUGUAACUUAUAGAUGGAUCCGCGCCGCAUUAGCUAGUUGGUAAGGUAACGGCUUACCAAGGCAACGAUGCGUAGCCGACCUGAGAGGGUGAUCGGCCACACUGGAACUGAGACACGGUCCAGACUCCUACGGGAGGCAGCAGUAGGGAAUCUUCCGCAAUGGGCGAAAGCCUGACGGAGCAACGCCGCGUGAGUGAUGAAAGUCUUCGGAUCGUAAAACUCUGUUAUUAGGGAAGAACAAAUGUGUAAGUAACUAUGCACGUCUUGACGGUACCUAAUCAGAAAGCCACGGCUAACUACGUG
rnacentral:rRNA from 1 species